UACAGAGGUCUCAAGCGUUGUUCGGAUUCAUUGGGCGUAAAGGGUGCGUAGGCGGCGCGGUAAGUCGGGUGUGAAAUCUCGGGUGCUUAACUCCGAAACUGCAUUCGAUACUGCGGUGCUUGAGGACUGGAGAGGAGACUGGAAUUCAUGGUGUAGCAGUGAAAUGCGUAGAGAUCGUAAGGAAGGCCAGUGGCGAAGGCGAGUUCCUGGACAGUGACUGACGCUGAGGCACGAAGGCCAGGGGAGCAAACGGG
rnacentral:rRNA from 1 species